GUUCGGAAGGGAUAACCGCUGAAAGCAUCUAAGUGGGAAACCCUCCUCAAGAUGAGACAUCCCGUGCCCUUGAAGGGCACUGAAGGAACCAGGGAGAAUACCUGGUCGAUAGGCUGGAGGUCGAAGCGUGGCAACACGUGUAGCCGACCAGUACUAAUCAGCCGUGAGGCUUGACCAUAUU
rnacentral:rRNA from 1 species